GGGAAGCCAAAAUAUUGGACAUCUCUCCUCUUUAUAAAGCAGGGAGGGUCCUUCUAAUUGUAACAUCUUAUGAAUUCUUGAAGACUCUACAACUGUUACUCUCCCUUAUUCUUCUUAAGACCAGCUCCACUGUGCACCUGAUGCUAGUAAGCGUUGGGACGUGCUGGGAGACUCCCCUAUUCAGGGGACAACCCUGACAGAUCUGAGCAAUGAUGACAUUUCUGUCCCCAGCUGACACCUGGCUCAGGAGGGACCUGGCUCAGGA
rnacentral:lncRNA from 10 species